rfam:Actinobacteria bacterium 66_15 MPI_scaffold_4725, whole genome shotgun sequence.
CUGAAAGCAUGGGGGAGUCGGUGCAACCGGCUGAGAGGGGGUUGAAAACCCCGACCCCUUGAACCUGAUCCGGAUCAUGCCGGCGAAGGGAAGGCACACGAUGUGUUC